ensembl:lncRNA
GCAGAAACAAGCUUCCAUACUGUAGUUGCGCCCUAAUUUUCUGGCUGUAUGAAACUCAACAGUGAUUUUUUGGGCAGAAAGUUUUAAUUGCUAAAUGCUAAAGUUCUCCUGCCAUAAACAUGGAAAACUUGGCAUAUACCUUGUGAAAUAUAAUAAUAAUAAUAAUAAUAAUAAACUUUAUUUUCUAUAGCACCUUUAAAAGUUACAUCUCAAAGCGCUUUACCAAGGCAUACAGAAAGGAAAAAAAAAAAUAUAUAUAUAUAUAUAUAUAUAUUCUUGAGAGAACUGACAUUUAUAAGAGUGCUAAUGAUGUAUAAAAUUUAACAUAUUUGCAAUUUUAUAAUGUGAAUUAAGUUGAUCGUUCACACGUUUAAGUGCCUUAAUACCAGUUUGGUAUAAUCUGUCUAUGAAUGCAAAUGAUGGGAUCCAUCUAUCUGUGGUUCCAAAUCAUCAAUGAAAGUCAUUUGACUCAAAUGCACUGCAACAAAUGACCACAUUUUAUGAAUAAAUGAACAGAUGCAAAGCCAGAAUGGAGUUUUGGCUUUUAUUUUGGAGCUCUAUCCAAAUCCCAGUGUUUCUGUCCAAAGAGUCAUGGAAAUAAAGCAGUAAAAUUUGUCUUAAUGUCCGCCUCGAGAAAUCAUGACUAGUUUGUUCCUUUGCUUGAACUACUAUUCAGCAGAAAUCAGCUAGAAUGAUUGCAGGUCAUGUAGUUUGUGUUAUUAAUAGGCACCGGUCUCAGCGGAAACACACUUUACUUCGGGCCGCUCUGUUCUUUCUCAUGGUUACAGAAGGAAAGUAAUCACUCAUAGGACUGUUUGCUUUGUUUCAGAAGUCUUGGAUCUGUGUGCUGGUACUGUAUUGUUCUGCUUGAACCUUGGGUUGGAGAAAUGAUCAAAUUUGUGAGGAAACGGUCCCGCUGCUUUAGCGCUGUUGCCUGGAUACCACAUCCACCUGGAGCAGCAUAUGGCCACAGCAUGUUGUGCUCCACGCCACGGGAGAGAGCGGCAAAUGAGCAGCUACUGUACGAGCGAGACAAAGACAUCAUCAGACAAAUUUGUGUUCCAGCAGCAAAGACAGUGAGAAACAUUUGGUGAAAACUUGUUUACUUGCAUUUCUCUAUUAGUUAUGUAAUGCAUUUAAGCAUCAAAAGCAAAACACGACAGAAACAUCACACUUAAAAAUGUCAUUGCAUUAGAUAACAAAAUGUCAAAGCAAAUGGCAU